rnacentral:tRNA from 1 species
UCCUACUUAGCUCAGUUGAUAAAGCAUCUGCCUGCAAUGCGGGAGACCUGGGUUCAAUUCCUGGGUUGCGAA